CCUGUGCUCCACGUGAUGUCUGCUACUGGGCUUGCAAUGUUUCCUCCAAGUAUGGUGUGCAGACAUCUGCAUCAGAAUCACUUGUGAGUGCCUGUUAUAAAGUAUUGGAUUGCAACCCAAUUCUACUGAAUUACAGUCUUACAGGCCUUCUGAAAAGAAGUUCUACUCAUCCUUCCAAGCCUAUAGAACCAAGGAUAAGGAGAAGCUAGGAGCCUAAAAUAUAGAAAAGAAAUGAUAUAUUCACAAGACGCUGUCAGAAAAGCAUACUGAUCACAAAAUCAUGACAUUCGAGAGGGAAUUUUAUAGCAUGUGCCGAAUCCUGAGGUCAAAACCAUAGUGGAAUAACAUAGCUCCCUCUAAACCUCUUAGACACCAUCCUCUGUGUGAGUAGUCCUCACUGCUUUUUUUCUACAUUCAAUAGGGUUACAGUUUCAAUUGCAUAGCCUCUGUGUUACAUUUACGAUAACAAUACUUCAAAAAAAUCUGUUACAUCCUUUUGAAAUCAAAGUUCAGAGGAUUGCUUCUAAGCUAGGACAUAGAAAUGGAGUAUUUCUUUAGGACUUUUUAUCUUUAUUUUACUGAUUAUACUAUAAUUGUGGGGGCCAUCUCAAAUACAAUUUUAAACAUCAUCAAUGUAUUUGGUGAAAGAUAUCAAAGGUGGGUUGUAAGAAUUAUGUCUAUGAUUAUGCCACUGGAUGGCAAAAUACGGAUGUAUCUGUCAUUAGUUUUCUAGCCCAUAAAAUCACACUUUUUAAAAAAGGCUAACAGCGGUUAUUACCUAAUUUAUAAGUAAUCGUAUGGAGUGAUGUAAAGUAGCCUGUCGUUUUUAAUACUUUUUUUGUGAUUAAGUAAGUUUGCGUCUAUUCUUUGCAGUGACUUUAAGUGUUCUUGGCUGGUUUUUGUUGUUUUUGUUGUUGUUGUUGUUUUUAAUGGAGUCUUGCUCUGUCACCAGGCUGGAGUGCAGUGGCACGAUCUUGGCUCACUGCAAGCUCCGCCUCCCGGGUUCAAGCAAUUCUCCUGCCUCAGCCUCCCAAGUAGCUGGGACUACAGGUGUGUGCCACCACGCCCAGCUAAUUUUUGUAUUUUUAGUAGAGACGGGGUUUCACCAUGUUGGUCAGGAUGGUCUCGAUCUCUUGACUUUGUGAUCAGCCUGCCUCAGCCUCUUAAAGUGCUGGGAUUACAGGUGUCAGUCACCGCACCUGGUCCUUGGCCACCUUUAUACCUCUGCCAAAUAAAAAGAAAAGUAUGAAACAAAAAGAAGAUUCCAGUUAUCUCAUAUUAUUCACAGCCUCAUGUCUAAACUACACCUCCAAGACCCCACAUCACUCUAUAGUGUUAUGAUUUGAAGUCUGUCUCCCACAAAAGAUAUCCUGAAAUCCUG
rnacentral:lncRNA from 1 species